CUGGCGACCAGGAGCUCCCCAGCGUGGUUCCCUGGAUGGAGGGAUGCUUCCUCCGUCCACUGCCUUCUCCAUGCCGACGCCAUCAGUAGCGGCGGCGGUCAGGCUGAUGCGGACGCGGCUGCAAGCUCGUCGUGAGAGCAGCGGAAAAAACGAGCUCACCACUCCUUCCUGCUGCGCCUGCUAGACCUCCAGGACAACUUGGAACAACUUGUGUGUCCCUCUCAGAUUCCUACAGAAGAAAGGAUACAUUUGCUUUUCUAUUGGAUGGACAACAACAUAACCACAACAAUAGGUCUAUCAGAAGAAGCAGGAGCGAAGCAAAGGCAGGAUUCCAUGGUGAGUUUGGAGUUUACCCUCUGUUCUUGGAA